GGGUGGGUGCCGGGGGAGAUGGGGGCUGAGGUAGGUGAAGGGGAGAUGAGUGCUGAGAUGGGUGGAGGGGAGCAUGGGGCUAAGAACCAUGCCCCCUCCACUUACCUCAGCCCCCAUUUACCCAGCACCCAUCUUAGCAUCCAUCUCCCCUUCACCCACCUCAGCCCCCAGCACCCACCUCAGCCCCAUGACCCCUCC